rnacentral:misc_RNA from 1 species
GAUGAAGAACGCAGCGAAAUGCGAUAAGUAGUGUGAAUUGCAGAUUUCAGUGAAUCAUCGAAUCUUUGAACGCACAUUGCGCCCUUUGGUAUUCCUUAGGGCAUGCCUGUUCGAGCGUCAUUUAAACCUUCAAGCUCAGCUUGGUGAUGGGUGACUGUCCGCUGCCUCCCCCCGGGGUGCGCCGCGGACUCGCCUCAAAUUUAUUGGUGGCCGGUACGUUGGCUUCGAGCGCAGCAGAAACGCGUAACUCGAGGUCUCCGUGGCGGCUCCCACAAGCAACCUUCAUUAUUUUGACCUCGGAUCAGGUAGGGAUACCCGCUGAACUUAAGCAUAUCAAUAAGCGGAGGA